rnacentral:rRNA from 1 species
CCAGACUCCUACGGGAGGCAGCAGUGGGGAAUAUUGCACAAUGGGGGGAACCCUGAUGCAGCGACGCCGCGUGGGUGAAGGAGUACUUCGGUACGUAAAGCCCUAUCAGCAGGAAAGAAAAUGACGGUACCUGACUAAGAAGCCCCGGCUAACUACGUGCCAGCAGCCGCGGUAAUACGUAGGGGGCAAGCGUUAUCCGGAUUUACUGGGUGUAAAGGGAGCGUAGACGGCUGGCCAAGUCUGAAGUGAAAGCCCGGGGCUUAACCCCGGAACGGCUUUGGAAACUGGCCGGCUGGAGUGCUGGAGAGGCAGGCGGAAUUCCUGGUGUAGCGGUGAAAUGCGUAGAUAUCAGGAGGAACACCGGUGGCGAAGGCGGCCUGCUGGACAGUAACUGACGUUGAGGCUCGAAAGCGUGGGGAGCAAACAGGAUUAGAUACCCGAGUAC